ensembl:lncRNA
UGGAAAGCAACUGUGUAUUUACACAACAGUGGACGUCUUUUACAUUGCAGAGGGGUGGGUAAGAGCGGGAUGGCUAGAAAGCUACAGCACCUAUUCGGUUAUGAACACUGUACUUUCAGAUGGCUGGGGGAAUAGAUGCCACUUCCCACUCAAGACAGGGAUUUGCUCAGAGGGAAAGCAGGUAAUAAAGGCAGCACAUCCUGCACUUUAGAACCGCAUCCGUCUCAUCCUGCAGCCACCCUGUAGCUGAAAGCACAGUUCUGGAGCCCAACUAUUAGGUCCAAAUCUCAAUUUUGCCCUUGAGUCAGCGAGGCCUUGGGCAAGGGGUCCCUUGAAUUCUGUCUUCCUGUGGUAGACGAGGAUGGCCACACCACAAGGCAGUCGCUGGGCCGGGCCCCGUGUCCCUAGCCCGUGCGUGUGUGCAUCACUGGCAGCGGUGACUGCGUGCUGCUUGGGGUACAGCACUUGAGCCACCUCAGAACACCCUGGUGAGCAGUGGACACUUGCACCAAUGGAAGCAGGACCGAGGCACUGGGUUGGUCCCUGUGAGACUCUGGGUGCAUUGUGAGCCUUGGGGAGGGGCAGCGGCAGAGGCCUGGGCCUUUCUGGUCUCCUGGCACACAGCAGACAGUGUUCCCACUUCCCUUCUCCACCGCGGUGUUUCUCUCUGGUGUGGUCUGGGUGGAAGGCACCAGGAAUGCAAAGCCCCAGCACUGCUGCUUCUCCUGGGGGAGAAAAGAUUUGUGGCCUGCCUUUCGCCAGGAGUGCUCCUGGCCUUGCCUUGUUGAUCGGCAGAUACUGGCUCCUCAAAGGGAAGGGGUAGUUGGUCCUUCUGAGCCAUGUUUCCAACCUAUCUGGUCCCCUGGCCCACUCUCACUGCAGCCCUGGGCCCGCUCUUCCUCUGGCCCUGCAUGGAAGGGCCUGCCUGACCCACUGGCUUUACAGACACACCGUCAGAGGGCCAGAAUCAGACUGAAAAGCCCAGUCUUUCAGCAGCAAAAAUGGCGAAGAGAUCAAAGGGCGUCAAUGCUGCUGGCGUGGCUUUUGCAGGUCUGACCUUGGGAGGUGAUGCCGGGCGACCUCCUUUCAGUCCUCCACGGCUCAGCGUGGCAGCUCAGGAGCGGGCACGCUGUGGCAGGUCCCAUCUCACUACGCUGGGGCGACCGUGUAUGGGCACAGCUGCACACAGUGCUCUGCUCCUGGGGUCCACCCCAGCUGCAAUUCCUGAAGUGAAUAAGCCCUAAGUCACUUAGCAACUCACCCUUCAAUCCUCUUCAACCUUCCUGAAAUAGCAAAGUAAACCUCAGGUAGGUCAAAGAGUUCCACCCAAAGGCGCACCUCUGUAGACACCUGCCAUCCAAUGGACCUCUGGGGCCCCCCUUCCCUUUCAACCUGGCUGGACUGCAGCAAUACCUCCUUUAUUUGAUCCCUGGUUAUGUCCACAUGUGGACUGUAUUAUCACAGAGGCAGCUGAUUCACUAUAGAGCACUCAGAAAACAUGGAAAAGUAUUUUUUAAAAUCGAGUGAUACUAGUCAAGUCAACCAGAGUUAACCCCGGUGUGCUUCCUGCCAGUCUGCUCCUCUCCAUGGGAGUCACACAAAAUGAAGAUCUCCUAGAAAGAGAAAUUCCUCUGUCCCCUGACUUCUUCACUGGGUACACCGCGACCUUCCCAUGUUGUUGAGCAUCCUCAACUCAGAACGUCACUGGCU